CACGCCACGUGCAUGCGGAUGUGUGAGAAGAGGCCCUGCGGGUGGGAGUUCUCGUGACGCACAGGGGUGGGGAGGAGCGCAACCCCUUUGCAUCGCUGUGCUUUGCUGUACUUCUGCGGGUGUGUGUCGGAGGCUGUGUUCCCUGACCCUCGACCGUUGGAGUCAGGAGGGUCCCCCCCACGCGUCCUCGGGCCGCUGGGCUGACCCGCGGGGGCGGGGCAAGGAAGGGGGCUUCCAGGGGAGGGCGCCGCUGGGGCGUGGCGGGAGGGGGAAACUGCGGGGCGGGUGUGGCGAGGCGGAGGGGCGCUCGGCCCGCCCGGCCUUCCGGCGGCGGAGGUGCGGGUGCGGGUGCGGGGUCGGGGGUGGGCGCCCAGGUGCUCGCUCUUUAAGAGGCCGGCGGAGGCGCCGCGCGCUCGGUCCGCACUCGCAGCGCAAACUUGCCGGGCCCGGCUCGCGCCUCCUCGAGGGCGGCGGCGGCGGGCGCGGGGGCUGAGCCGCGGCGGUCCCCUCGCCCCCUGGUGCUCCGGGCGCCCCCGCCCCUCCCGCAGCCUCCCGUCUGCGCGUCUUCCGCGCUCUCCCCGUCUCUCGCUCGCUCUCCGGCGCGCUCUCUCGCUCGCUCUCAUUUUUCCUUGCUGCUGCCGCCGCGGCCGCCGCUGCCGCUGCCGCUGCCGCUGCCGCCGCGCCGCCGGGCGCCCGCAUCUCGGCCGGCUGCGCUCGCAGGUCGGCUCGCGCUGCACUCCCCCGCCCGGAGCCCCCGGCCGGACCCCGCUGCCCGGAGCCGCCUCGCCCGCUCCCUUCGGCUUGGACGCCGGGCUCCGCGGGGCCGGGGCAGGGCUGGCCGCCGCUCCCUUGCUCUUGCCGGAGCAGCAGCAGAACGCCGCGCGCGGGGAGGCGGCUCCGGCCGGGCGGCCGCCGGCCCAUCCCCGCUGCGUCCGGGACUCCGGGCGGCUCGGCGCCCGGCUCGGUCCGCAGCGUCAGCGCCGUCCGCCGCGGCCCGGGCUCUGGGCAGCGCGAGCAGCCCGCGGCCGCCGCCGCCGCCGCCGCCGCCUCCCGGCGCCCCCGGGGCAGGCGGGAGCGCAACCGACCCCUCGCCGCGGCUCAGACCUCGCCGGCGCGCGGGUGCGCGCUGGGUCUGCCCCACUUUCCCCUCUGAGAUCCACAUGGGAUGUGGGCCUGGGGUUCUGCGUCUGCUGGUUGAACUCUUCAGAAGCCAGUGCCUGGGUGGUGGGAGCACUUCAGUCAAGAGAACUGGAGCAGUUGGGGCCUCUGUGUGGGGGAAGUCCAAGCAGGGGACAGGUGGCUCUGAGAGGCUUGCUUGGCCUGGAUGCAGGGACUGCAUCUCUAGGAAAACCUCCUAAUCCAAACACAAGCCCUUCUUCUAAAUGGCUAGGGAAACUGAGGCACAGAAUGGGUGAGUGGCUUGCUGGUCUUCAUUUGACAAACCCAUUGGAAUGGGAGCCUGGGUGUCAGCCCCCCAACCAAUCCCUGACUCAGCUUCCAGUGCUUCUCCCUGUGGCCUUCUAAGUUGAGGGGAGGGAGGUUGCUGGUUUUGAGCGAGUGGGAGGCUGGGGCAAGGGAAGGAACCCCAGGGGAAAUUAGCCCAAAUUAGCAGUGAGAAUGAGGAAGAGCUGGUGUUCUCUCCUCUACCCUUGCAGAUAAAUAUUUAAUCACAACAACAAUAAUAAUGACAAUGAUCAUAAUAAUGUGCAGUAGUUCAGGCCAUAACCUGAGCCCCCCCUCUCAGAGGGAGGAAGUGGGGGAGAGAGAAAGAGCAGUGGAGAAAUUGAGAGCUAAAGACCAUGAGAAAGAUGGUGGGGGAGGGAGGCCAAGCAAAUGAAAAGGAGGCCUACCUCCUUGAGCUUGGAGCCCCUGGGGUUACCGUCUGCCAGGGGUGUGGCUGAGGUAGAAAUGUGAAAUUUGCAUUGCCCGAUUGGAUUUGGGAUGAGGAUUCUGAGCUGGGACAGCCCCAGCUUCUCCCUGGUCUUCAGAGUGAGCAGCUCCCAGCCUGGUUUCUUCUGCAGGGGGCCUUGCUGGCUUCCUUAUUCCUCAGUCCCCAAGGAACCUAAGUGUCUUUGGCUCCAGAGCUGGGAAGCUGGGGUCCGCGUGGUAUUGUGCUUCUCACUACCUGUGUGACUUGGACAAAAUGCUCUUCUGCUCUGGGCCUCAGUUCCCUCAUCUCUAAAAUGGGGUUGGAUCCUGUGGACCUGAUUUCUUGCUGUUCCCUCAUGUGGGUGAGUGUUGAGGAAGACCCUUCUUCCUCUCAAGUCAGUUCAGGCUGUUCCUGGGGAGUGUGCACUCUGAUCCCCUGGUUUCUGAUGGCAGUGGGUCUAGGCCUAAGAAAUCUUCAAACAUGACCUAAUUUCUGCCUCAGGCUCUCCCACUUGAACCAAAGUCGAGCAGCAGCUGGGAGAAAACCAAGUUCAGAUUUGUGGAGCCUGUGGCGAUAACCUCCAGCAUCUCCUUCUCUCAGGCUCCUCAUGAGAGAUCAGAAUAGCUAAUGUCUUCUUUGGGCUUCUGUUUGAUUCUCUCUCUCUCUCUCUCUCUCUCCCCCUCCCUCUCCCUCUCUCCAUCCCUCUCCCUCUCCCCCUCCCUCU
rnacentral:lncRNA from 1 species